GAUUGCUCAGGAUGUGGUCCGCAGAAACUGCGUGUACUACGCUUGGGUAUCCUUACUUUGGGGAUCCAAGUAGGCAGUUUUGGGUAGUUAUCAGCAAUGGUAGCUAUCUGGGGCUGUCCACUCCCCAUCUUUUACUUUGAGAAAAUUAGAGUGUUCAAAGCAGGCGUAACCCAGCCUUGAAUACUGUAGCAUGGAAUGAUACAAAAAGACGAGAGUCUUAUUUGUUGGUUUCUAAGGCUUCCGUA
rnacentral:rRNA from 1 species